CACUCGCGAGUUGAUUGCGACCUUAUUUUAUGGGUUGGACGGCGAGUGGGUAAUGUGGAUUCCCCAAGGCUACUAUGCUUCCUCCCCGGGCGGCGACGAUCUUGUAGGAUG
rnacentral:misc_RNA from 1 species